rnacentral:rRNA from 1 species
AAAUUGAAGAGUUUGAUCAUGGCUCAGAUUGAACGCUGGCGGCAGGCCUAACACAUGCAAGUCGAACGGUAACAGGAAACAGCUUGCUGUUUCGCUGACGAGUGGCGGACGGGUGAGUAAUGUCUGGGAAACUGCCUGAUGGAGGGGGAUAACUACUGGAAACGGUAGCUAAUACCGCAUAACGUCGCAAGACCAAAGAGGGGGACCUUCGGGCCUCUUGCCAUCGGAUGUGCCCAGAUGGGAUUAGCUAGUAGGUGGGGUAACGGCUCACCUAGGCGACGAUCCCUAGCUGGUCUGAGAGGAUGACCAGCCACACUGGAACUGAGACACGGUCCAGACUCCUACGGGAGGCAGCAGUGGGGAAUAUUGCACAAUGGGCGCAAGCCUGAUGCAGCCAUGCCGCGUGUAUGAAGAAGGCCUUCGGGUUGUAAAGUACUUUCAGCGGGGAGGAAGGGAGUAAAGUUAAUACCUUUGCUCAUUGACGUUACCCGCAGAAGAAGCACCGGCUAACUCCGUGCCAGCAGCCGCGGUAAUACGGAGGGUGCAAGCGUUAAUCGGAAUUACUGGGCGUAAAGCGCACGCAGGCGGUUUGUUAAGUCAGAUGUGAAAUCCCCGGGCUCAACCUGGGAACUGCAUCUGAUACUGGCAGGCUUGAGUCUCGUAGAGGGGGGUAGAAUUCCAGGUGUAGCGGUGAAAUGCGUAGAGAUCUGGAGGAAUACCGGUGGCGAAGGCGGCCCCCUGGACGAAGACUGACGCUCAGGUGCGAAAGCGUGGGGAGCAAACAGGAUUAGAUACCCUGGUAGUCCACGCCGUAAACGAUGUCGACUUGGAGGUUGUGCCCUUGAGGCGUGGCUUCCGGAGCUAACGCGUUAAGUCGACCGCCUGGGGAGUACGGCCGCAAGGUUAAAACUCAAAUGAAUUGACGGGGGCCCGCACAAGCGGUGGAGCAUGUGGUUUAAUUCGAUGCAACGCGAAGAACCUUACCUGGUCUUGACAUCCACAGAACUUUCCAGAGAUGGAUUGGUGCCUUCGGGAACUGUGAGACAGGUGCUGCAUGGCUGUCGUCAGCUCGUGUUGUGAAAUGUUGGGUUAAGUCCCGCAACGAGCGCAACCCUUAUCCUUUGUUGCCAGCGGUCCGGCCGGGAACUCAAAGGAGACUGCCAGUGAUAAACUGGAGGAAGGUGGGGAUGACGUCAAGUCAUCAUGGCCCUUACGACCAGGGCUACACACGUGCUACAAUGGCGCAUACAAAGAGAAGCGACCUCGCGAGAGCAAGCGGACCUCAUAAAGUGCGUCGUAGUCCGGAUUGGAGUCUGCAACUCGACUCCAUGAAGUCGGAAUCGCUAGUAAUCGUGGAUCAGAAUGCCACGGUGAAUACGUUCCCGGGCCUUGUACACACCGCCCGUCACACCAUGGGAGUGGGUUGCAAAAGAAGUAGGUAGCUUAACCUUCGGGAGGGCGCUUACCACUUUGUGAUUCAUGACUGGGGUGAAGUCGUAACAAGGUAACCGUAGGGGAACCUGCGGUUGGAUCACCUCCUUACCUUAAAGAAGC